rnacentral:tRNA from 1 species
CUAUUUGUGCCUAAUAGAAAGCGCUUAGGUGGAACCUAAAUUGCGCGGGUUAGAUUCUUGUCAAAUAGA